AACCUGGUUGAUCUUGCCAGUAGUCAUAUGCUUGUCUCAAAGAUUAAGCCAUGCAAGUGAAAGUAUAUAUAUAUUUUAUAUGUAGAAACUGCGAACGGCUCAUUAAAACAGUUAUAGUCUACUUGACAUUUUUAUUAUAAGGAUAACUACGGAAAAGCUGUAGCUAAUACUUGCUUUAUUAUCCUUUGAUUUUAUAUCUUAGGAUAAGUACUUGUUAGGCCUUAUAAGAAAAAAGUUAUUAACUUAAGGAAUUAUAACAAAGAAGUAACACGUA
rnacentral:rRNA from 1 species